rnacentral:rRNA from 1 species
GUAUUAGAGGCAUUGCCUGCCCAGUGACUAAAGUUAAACGGCCGCGGUAUCCUGACCGUGCAAAGGUAGCAUAAUCACUUGUUCCUUAAUUAGGGACUAGAAUGAAUGGCUAAACGAGGGUUCAACUGUCUCUUACUUUCAAUCAGUGAAAUUGACCUUCCAGUGAAGAGGCUGGAAUCUCCCAAUAAGACGAGAAGACCCUAUGGAGCUUUAAUUUACUAGUUCAACUUAUAUAAAAACAACCUAAUGGGCUAAAACAAAAUAAAUAUGAACUAAAAAAUUUCGGUUGGGGUGACCUCGGAGAAUAAAAAAUCCUCCGAAUGAUUUUAACCUAGACUCACAAGUCAAAGUAAUACUAAUAUCUUAUUGACCCAAUUAUUGAUCAACGGACCAAGUUACCCUAGGGAUAACAGCGCAAUCCUAUUUAAGAGUUCAUAUCGACAAUUAGGGUUUACGACCUCGAUGUUGGAUCAGGACAUCCCAAUGGUGCAGAAGCUAUUAAUGGUUCGUUUGUUCAACGAUUAAAGUCCUACGUGAUCUGUUUUUUAAA